rnacentral:rRNA from 1 species
CCCGCUGAACUUAAGCAUAUCAAUAAGCGGAGGAAAAGAAACCAACAGGGAUUGCCCCAGUAACGGCGAGUGAAGCGGCAACAGCUCAAAUUUGAAAUCUGGUCCCCAGGGCCCGAGUUGUAAUUUGCAGAGGAUGCUUUUGGCGCGGCGCCUUCCGAGUUCCCUGGAACGGGACGCCUUAGAGGGUGAGAGCCCCGUACGGUUGGACACCAAGCCUCUGUAAAGCUCCUUCGACGAGUCGAGUAGUUUGGGAAUGCUGCUCUAAAUGGGAGGUAAAUUUCUUCUAAAGCUAAAUAUUGGCCAGAGACCGAUAGCGCACAAGUAGAGUGAUCGAAAGAUGAAAAGCACUUUGAAAAGAGGGUUAAAUAGCACGUGAAAUUGUUGAAAGGGAAGCGUUUGCGACCAGACUUUUUCCUAGCGGAUCAUCCGGUGUUAUCACCGGUGCACUUUGCUAGGUCAAGGCCAGCAUCGGUUUCCGUAGGGGGAUAAAAGCUUGGGGAAUGUAGCUCCCUCGGGAGUGUUAUAGCCCCUCGUAUAAUACCCUUAUAGGGACCGAGGACCGCGCUUUUUGCAAGGAUGCUGGCGUAAUGGUUGUCAACGACCCGUCUUGAAACACGG